AACGAACGCUGGCGGCAUGCCUAACACAUGCAAGUCGAACGAUUGCCUUCGGGUGAUAGUGGCGCACGGGUGCGUAACGCGUGGGAAUCUGCCCUUAGGUUCGGAAUAACAGCUGGAAACGGCUGCUAAUACCGGAUGAUAUCGCGAGAUCAAAGAUUUAUCGCCUGAGGAUGAGCCCGCGUUGGAUUAGGUAGUUGGUGGGGUAAAGGCCUACCAAGCCGACGAUCCAUAGCUGGUCUGAGAGGAUGAUCAGCCACACUGGGACUGAGACACGGCCCAGACUCCUACGGGAGGCAGCAGUGGGGAAUAUUGGACAAUGGGCGCAAGCCUGAUCCAGCAAUGCCGCGUGAGUGAUGAGGGCCCUAGGGUUGUAAAGCUCUUUUACCCGGGAAGAUAAUGACUGUACCGGGAGAAUAAGCCCCGGCUAACUCCGC
rnacentral:rRNA from 1 species